rnacentral:rRNA from 1 species
UACGAAGGGGGCUAGCGUUGCUCGGAAUUACUGGGCGUAAAGCGCACGUAGGCGGGUCUUUAAGUCAAGGGGGAAAUCCUGGAGCUCAACUCCAGAACUGCCUUUGAUACUGAAGAUCUUGAGUUCGGGAGAGGUGAGUGGAACUGCGAGUGUAGAGGUGAAAUUCGUAGAUAUUCGCAAGAACCCCAGUGGCGAAGGCGGCUCACUGGCCCGAUACUGACGCUGAGGCACGAAAGCGUGGGGAGCAAACAGG